rnacentral:rRNA from 1 species
UACGGAGGAUCCAAGCGUUAUCCGGAUUUAUUGGGUUUAAAGGGUGCGUAGGCGGGUCGAUAAGUCAGUGGUGAAAGCCUGCAGCUUAACUGCAGAAUUGCCGUUGAUACUGUCGGUCUUGAAUACAGUUGAGGUGGGCGGAAUGUGUCAUGUAGCGGUGAAAUGCUUAGAUAUGACACAGAACACCGAUUGCGAAGGCAGCUUGCUAAACUGUAAUUGACGCUGAGGCACGAAAGCGUGGGUAGCAAACAGG